rfam:Ailuropoda melanoleuca scaffold449_185, whole genome shotgun sequence.
ACCUGGCUGGCUCAGUCAGGGGAGCGUGAGACUCUUGAUCUCGGGGUUGUGAGUUCAAGCCCCACAUUGGGUG